rnacentral:rRNA from 1 species
GACGAACGCUGGCGGCGUGCCUUAUACAUGCAAGUCGAACGCAUUUUCUUUCACCGUAGCUUCCUCCACCGAAAGAAAAUGAAUGGCGAACGGGUGAGUAACACGUGGGUAACCUGCCCAUCAGCGGGGGAUAACAUUUGGAAACAGGUGCUAAUACCGUAUAAUUCCAUUUACUGCAUGGUAGACGGAUGUAAGGCGCUCUUGCGUCACUGAUGGAUGGUCCCGCGGUGCAUUAGCUAGUUGGUGGGGUAACGGCCUACCAAGGCUGCGAUGCAUAACCGACCUGGGGGGGUGAUCGGCCACACUGGGACUGAGACACGGCCCAGACUCCUGCAGGAGGCAGCAGUAGGGAAUCUUCGGCAAUGGACGCAAGUCUGACCGCACAACGCCGCGUGAGUGGAGAAGGUUUUCGGAUCGUAAAACGCUGUUGUUAGAAAAGAACAAGGAUGAGGGUGGAAAGUUCAUCCCUUGACGGUAUCUAACCAGAAAGCCACGGCUAACUACGUG